CUUACGGUUCCACUUAAAGGAGAGGAAGAGGUGAUGGUUAAAUGACUUUAUGGUUCAUGAGUACUUUGAGUUUACUGAAGAUUAUCCAAAGGUUAAAGAUGUACUCAGCAGAUGUCUGAAGAGUUUUCACAUAAUAAACUUUUUUUGCUUUCUUUCAGGUUGAUUCUUUUCAAGAUCUUGGCUCAGUUCAUCAUACUGGGCUGUACCUGGAUUCUAGGACUGUACCAGACCAACCUUUUCUUUCAAGUCCUCUUCUUAGUCCUGAACUCCCAGCAAGGCACCUUCCUCUUCAUCGUCCACUGCUCAACAAGGAGGUCAGAGAGGAGUACAUCAAAUGGCUGACGCGCUCUUUCAAUAAGCAGAGGAGACGAUCUACGCAGAAGAAAGUGACAUCUGUCUCUGAGAACUUGGACAAGGCUGAAGAAAAGACAAAAUGAUGAAUGAAUAAAUGAAAUAGGAGUGGAUUAUUAUGUUAGAUUAGAAUAGAAGAGACACUGAAGACAAAGAAAAACAUUGUUUCCGCUCUGAUCCACCAUUCUUUCCCUACUAGUUUAGUAUUCAGAUUUUUAACAUUUAACCAUGUAUUUGUAACACGUAGUUGUUUUAGAUAUGAUCACAGUGAAAUCUUGUCCUUUAG